UCUAAUGGUUGGGGUUUUUUUUUCCCACAAUUUCAGACUAAAGCAUUUAGUUUCUCUCUCCUCCUUCAUAUGCACACGUAAUUUUCUCUCUCCUCUCUUUUCUCUCUGUUUUUCUCUCUAUUCUUCUCCCUAUCAAAGGUAUUUCUCCUAUUUUUCUUCAGCAAAAACUGAUGAACUCUAAUUUUUUGUUAACUUAAGCGUUGCUAAAUUUUGUCGCUGAAUAUCACAAAUUGCUACUCGAGUUCAAUGCCAAUCUUCAAAACAUUGCUCAAAGUCAUUGAAAUUGUAGGUUUAAGUUGAAUUGAUGAUGUUGGAGUCGGGCUAUGGUGGCGAAUGGUGGAGCAAUUGGUGGUUGUUGUGUGGGCGUCCGAUAGAGAUGCGGCUGCUGCUGUUGCGGCUGGACUGCUGUGGUGGCUAUUGCGAUAGCUGGUCAUGUGAAUUGGCGGAGGUUGGUUGUGGAUUUAGAGGGUGCGUGUUGGAUGAACUACAUGGCUGGCUAGGCGAAUUAAGGUAGCUGGUGGUUAUUGUGGGAAUGCGUAGCUACUAUGUGUUGUUUUUGGGUUGCGUGGGUUGUGCUGAAGUAGGAGAGUGGCGUGGAUACUUGCAAGUUGCAGCAGGGGAGUUACAAGGUUGUUAUUGCUACUUGUUGAUGUUGUGUAGGUUAGCUGAUGGUGGGGUGAAGGUUUAGGCUGCUUAGGGGCAGGAGCAAAGGAAGGAGGGGGGGGGGGGGGGGCAGCAGCCGCCUUAUGAUGCAAAAGAACAUUCGACAAAAAAUCGAAACUCUAAACUUGAUUGGUUAUAAGCUUUAUUGUUUGCGUGUUAGAAACCUAUUAGCUUAAUUGGUUGAGCAAUGUGUACUUGUAUUACACACAUGACGUGGGUUCGAAUCCUACAUAGGUUUACAUGUAGUGAUAUUUAUAAAAUGUAUUCAAAAUUAAUCAAAUAACUUUUUUUUUUAGAGUGACCUUUAUUUAUACAUACUUACAUAGUGACCUUUAUGUAAAUGUGGUCAAAAUUGAUAGUUACCUUAUUUUGUAAAUAGUAACUUCUAUAUAAAUGUGAUCAAUGUUGUCAAAAUUGAUAUAAUUACCUUCCUUUUAUCUAUAGUGACAUUCGUUAUUUUUA